AGGUGAGGUCUGCACCCCACUAAUAUAUAUUAUAAAUUGAUCUUAUCUCUAGUCGAUGUGGGACUUCCAACACAUUACAAAUUGAAUAAACCCGGAAAAAAAAGUUAAUGUUCUCAUGAUUUAUGCAUUACAAAAUAAAAAUAAUAAAAAUACAAUAAUACAAAAACAAAUGUGGCCAAUAAAAAAUAUAAGGAAAUAAAAAAUAAUAACAAAAAUGUUUGUCUUAUUGUACAUGUUAUACAAUAAUAUGGCCACAAGUGGCCGUCGAAAUACAAAAAAGAAAAUAAAAAAUAAAAAAUAAAUCAUUAAAAAAAUAAAAACAAUUCAUUGUAGUUUUUUUAAGGAGACUCUUGAUCGGGUAAUGUUGAUCUCAAGGAAAGCUCUCUUAAAGGAGCUUUAACACGAAAGGAAAUAGAUUGAGUGAUCUCUUUUUCAUGUAUAAGGGGAAUCAGAAAGAGAUCUAAGAGUCUUGGAACUUAUGGGAUUACCCAGGAAAGAUCUCAGGUUGUACAAUAAAGAAAAAAAAAAAGCAAAAAAUAAAUAAAUAAAAAAUAAAACAAACAAAAAAAUUAAAAAGUGAAAGGAGGAGAAACCCAAGGGAGGCUUACUAUACGUAAAGGAUGGUAAGAGGGAAUAUGAAGAGUUAGGUGCACUAAUGACAUCCUGUUGCAUAUUUUGUAGUUUUGUUUGCAAAAACUUUGUACAAGAGGUUUUAGCAUUUACAGUUUUGAGAACCUAAGGAUAUAUCCUACAAUUUUUAUUUUCUUUUAAAUCUAUGAUGAUUAUGAAAAAGAGUAUAGCCUUUGCAGAUUUAAUUGUUAAUAAUUCCAUUAAAAGGAGUAGUAUGGACAAUGUGGCAACCAUUGUCAUUCUUUAUGAGUUUGUCAAUACCUCAUCAAGUUCACUUAGAGGAACCUAUAUUGAAAAUAAGGAUGCACGUUUUCUGUUUGGUUUGUAAGAAUCUCCCUUCAAAAGCUCAGUUAAUGGCAUUUUGUCUGAUCUUAUGCACUUGGAGCACCGUCUUCUAAUAGAUACCAAGUUGAAGCGAAUAUUGGUUGAAGUAAAAGAUGGUGAGUUUGGCAAUUCCUCAUCAAACUCACUUAGGGGAACCUAUAUUGAAAAGAGGGAUUCAAGUUUUUCAUUUGGUUUGCAAGAAUCUUGCUUCAAAAGCUUAGUUAAUGGCAUCUCGUCUAAUCUUAUGCACUUGUAGCACCCUCUUUUAAUAGAUACAAAGUUGAAGCGAAUAUUGGUUGAAGUAAAAUAUGGUGGUUUUGGCUCCUUUUUUUAUCUGAAAGUCUUGAUGAACCAAAGGAAUCCGAAGCAGAUUGCAAAAAAUAUUAAUGAGGGUGAUGUCAUUUCAGAAGCAAUGGACAAAUUUUUCUAUUGGUUCCUCAAUCCAAAAGUUUGACAUCGAGUAUAUAAACAAAAUACAAAAACAAAAUAAUUAAAAGAAUGAAGAGUUUAUUUGAGAGGAAUUAGCAUAACUCAAUAAGUCUCUUGGGUGUGUGGGGCACUUCGGUAGUUAUGCGUUAAAGAAAGGUUUGUAAUUAUUUUUUCAGAAAAGUUCUACGUGGAGGAUUUAAGUUUUUUUCACAAGAAAUUGUAAGAGAAGAAUGUUAUAAUAUUUUUUUAUUAUUGCAAAAGUGAAAAUGUUUUGGAACAUUUAUUUUAGAACAUUGGAAAUUUAUUGGCAACGGCUUCAAUUUCUUAAGUGCUCCAAUGUUAACAAAUUUAAUGUUUUUUAUUUUUUUUAUUGAUUUUAUUCUCUCCUAACUCUAUAAAUAGAGAGCUUUUCCGCCAUUCCAAAACACACAAAAUUCAGUCUUUCUCAUUCUUCUCUCUUCUUAUUUUCAUUCUUUAGCUCUUUUCUUCUUCUAAAAAUAUUUUGGGUUAUUCUUGUACUUUGUUUAGAGAUCCUUUCUAGUUUUGAUAUCCUUAAAAAUUUUGAGAAGUUCCUGUUGUAUCUUGGGAGACUUGCGCAAUACACCGUGGAUAAGUCCUGUGACUCUACACGCCUUAGGAAAUACUAUUUUGUAAUUUUUUUCCAACAAUCUUAAGGACUUAUGGAUGAUAUCAUCAACAUGCCUUUGGAGAGUCAAACCAUUGUUCCCGGAACCCAGACGGUCUUCGCAAAAUCACUUUCAAACGUGUCAAAAAUCGACUUUUUCUCUUGACAAAACUUCUGGUGCUAGCAAGAACGCGUGUUCACCCUUUUCGACAUGUAUGGAGUUGUUGUUGCUCCCAAAAGGUACGUACACGAACCUAAUCACAGAAAGAAAAAUAAUUUUCUUAAAUCCCAUCCCAAUGAAUUUAAACCAACCUAGCAUAGAGUAAGAAACGACAAUCCUCCUAGGGCAAAUAUAGCCGAAGGAGAUGACAUUAUGGUUGCGGUCGUUUCUCAAGUAAAUCUGAUGACCAAUGUGAGCAAAUGGGUGUGUUAAACUUGCUUCUAGUCGCAUCAAAGCCAACAAACUCAGUUUCCCCACUAAUGUAAUAUAGGGGUCAACCAAGAAUCAAUCCAAGGACUCAACUAUGAUUAAGUCUAAAGUGUAAAGUUUAUUCUUGUAAUUAUUUACUAAUUAUUUAUGAAACGUGGGGAAAGAAAAUCUAAUUUUAAAAUCAAAGAAUUAAAAAUUAAAAUUUGUUUCAAAGGAUAAGAAAGGAAAAUGCAAGAAAGAAAUUGAAACCUAAACUAAAGUACUGGAAAGAUUAAAUCUAAUUAUUCAUACAAUUCAAACAAUAACUAUUUCAACAUAUGAAUGCUACAAAUUAACCGUGCAAGAAAAACAAAAGUAAAAUUGAAUAUAGAAACUACUGAUGCAUGAAAGCAAUGAAAAUAAUUGAGUGAGAAAACAAUAAGGAACUAACAUUUAACACUCACGAACAUGAAAUCCAAAUCAAAUACUUUGAUUCAUUCAGUGUUUUGAAUUUCACCCUGACUCAAGGAGACACCUUGGAAAAGAAAAGCUCACUGUGGAGCCAAUACAAUUUCUCUUAUUAGAGAAAAUAAAGUGCAGUUUCACAAUUCAAAACCUAAAUCAAAACAAAAAAUUUUUUUCUGAGAAGACAACAAUAGCAUAAUUGAAUUCACAAUAUUUUUUCUUCAUUAGACUCGUCUCCAAACUCGAGAAGACAUUUUGGUAUGUCAUGCUCACUGUGGAGUCAUGUAAUCCCCUAAGGAAUUUUAACUGUGGAGUCACAGAGUCCAAAUCAGCUUUUAUACAAAACCAAACAAUUGACAAAUAUAUUUUUUUACUCGUUGGAGUCACUCUGACUCGAGAAGACAUCUCGGUCAUGCAGGCCCAACUCGGGGUCGUUUAACUCCAAAAAAGAAUUAUAAUGUGCAGAGUUACGAGUUCAAAUCGUUUUUAAAUCAAAAUACACAAGAAACACAGAAACAUUGAAGAAACAAAAUAAAAAAGCAUGUAAAACAAAGAACACAUCAAAGAUAGAGAACAUUUUAUUAACAUGAAACGAGAAUUACAGUACCUAACAACGCAUAAUCGGAGCCACCAUGGGUUGUCACCACCGUGAGUGUGCGUUCCAAAAGUAAGGAAAAUGAAAAUCCUAACUAUCUAAAACUGUAAAAAAAAUGGAAAAAUAUUUCGGUCCCUUCGAUUCUAUUUACAAAAGCCCUUUUUAUAGGGUCAAAGACAAAUGAAAAUAUGAAAGAGAGAAAAGGAAAGAGUGAAACUUGUUUUCGACACUUCGGGCUUCACUUUGAUCCAACGGUCCUCUUUAUUUUGCCUCAUUGCUCUCUACUAGCCGUUUGAUCAUCCAUAUGGCAACGCCGGUCAACUCUUCUUUCUUGUCGGUCAUCUUCUCCGGGCAGGUUUAAUCACGUGCGUCUUCGCUCUCUCUCACUCUAACCCUAGAAAAGGGUUGUUUUCUUCUUAUCGUCCUCUUUCUCUCCCUCGAAGCCUUCGCACAAAGGAUGCUUCUGCCCAAAUGAAUGCUUGAGAGAUAGACCCCCAAAGACAACCAAGCCAAAACGCUACGUUUCAUUAACUUCAGCUGUUGUCCAAGUCCAACCAUGUUACCCACUCUUGUUUUAAACAUCAGCAACGCCCCAAUUUGGAGUCAACCCACUUCAUUCUUCAAGCAGCGUUUGAGGCAAAGAUGCCCAUUAAAUCUCUUCGUCAGCUUUCAAACAACACUUUGCAGCGGCCUAGAUCAAAAGUGCAGUGGCAAUCUUUCAGCAGUGCAGCCCAAUUGCUUUGAAUCUCCCUCCAAUGAAAUGGUAGCAGCUUUCAGACGUGGCAACAACAUCAUUCCAUCAGACCAACCCCUUUGCAAAACGGCCCAUCUAUCCAAUUAAGUGGGCAAUUAGCAGCCAAUCCUAAGCGGCCAAUUCAAAUAUAAACCAAUCAACCCUCUCCAGCAUAGCAAUAGUGCAACAGCCCAAUAUACUUUUGUUGACCAAAUCAACCCAGUUGACCAAGGCCCAAAACCCAAU
rnacentral:lncRNA from 1 species